rnacentral:rRNA from 1 species
AAAGAUUAAGCCAUGCAUGUCUAAGUACAAACCUUCCUUAGUGUGAAACCGCAAACGGCUCAUUAAAUCAGUCAUAAUUCAUUGGUUGCAGGCUAUCCUUACUCGGAUAACUGUGGCAAUUCUAGAGCUAAUACGUGCAAUUGAGCUCCGACGCCGAGAAGGGGGAUUCGUUCUCCUCUCUCGGGGGAAGGGCGCAGUUAUUAGAAUCAUAAACCGAGGCGGGCUCUCGAGUCCGAAUCUACUUGGCUAUGAUGACUCUGGAUAACUUUGCCAAGCGCUUAGGCCUCAGAGCCGGCGCUGCAUCUUUCGAGUGACUGCCCUAUCAGCUUUCGAUUGUAGGAUAUAGGCCUACGAUGGCUGUUACGGGUAACGGGGAAUCAGGGUUCGAUUCCGGAGAGGGAGCCUGAGAAACGGCUACCACAUCUAAGGAAGGCAGCAGGCACGCAAAUUACCCAAUCCCAGUUCGGGGAGGUAGUGACGAUAAAUACCGAUGCGGGACUCAUCCGAGGCCUCGCAAUCGGAAUGAGCUCACUUUAAAAAAGUGGGCGAGGAUCGAUUGGAGGGCAAGUCUGGUGCCAGCAGCCGCGGUAAUUCCAGCUCCAAUAGCGUAUAUUAAAGUGNNNNNNNNNNNNNAAGCAGGCAACAGAUUUAUACGCCCGAAUAGUAAUGCAUUGAAUGAUGGAACAGGACCUCGGUUCUGACUAUAUAAAUUUUUUUUCUCGGUUUUUCCCGAACCCGAGGUAAUGAUUAAAGGGAACGGUCGGGGGCAUUAGUAUUGCGACGCGAGGGGUGAAAUCCAGUGACCGUCGCAAGACUACCUACUGCGAAAGCAUUUGCCAAGAACGUUUCCAUUAAUCAAGAACGAAAGUUAGAGGAUCGAAGGCGAUCAGAUACCGCCCUAGUUCUAACCAUAAACGAUGCCAACUAACGAUCCGCGUACAGUCAUUCCCAAGACUGCGCGGGAAGUUCCCCGGGAAACCAAAGUCUUUGGGUUCCGGGGGUAGUAUGGUUGCAAAGCUGAAACUUAAAGGAAUUGACGGAAGGGCACCACCAGGAGUGGAGCCUGCGGCUUAAUUUGACUCAACACGGGAAACCUCACCAGGCCCGGACACCGGAAGGAUUGACAGAUUGAGAGCUCUUUCUCGAUUCGGUGGUUGGUGGUGCAUGGCCGUUCUUAGUUGGUGGAGCGAUUUGUCUGGUUAAUUCCGAUAACGAACAAGACUCUGUCCUACUAACUAGUCGGAGGAUCGUUUCCCGAGACGGGUUUCCCCCCCUCCGCGCUCGUGGUUGGCGGCGUUCGGGUCUCGGUUCCGCGGCUUACUCGCCGUAGUACUAUAUUAUUCGCGCUUCGUCGUCGUUUUUCGGCGGCUGAAGAGGCGGGUGGUAUACAAGGCUACGCGCCGGGUUCGCCGUUCGGGAUUCGGGCGUCGUCGUUCGCCGCGGCGCAAAAGGGGGUCCCAACGAGGGGCGUCCUCCGUAUAAAAAUCUUCUUAGAGGGACCGGCGGUCUCGAACCGUACGAGAAGGAGCAAUAACAGGUCUGUGAUGCCCUUAGAUGUCCUGGGCCGCACGCGUGCUACAAUGGAGGGAGCAGCGUGCUUUCCCCCUCCGAGAGGAGUGGGUAACCCCAUGAAACCCCUUCCCGAUUGGGAUUGGGGGUUGCAAUGGUUGCCCAUGAACGAGGAAUCCCUUGUAAGCGCGAGUCAUAAGCUCGCGAUGAAUACGUCCCUGCCCUUUGUACACACCGCCCGUCGCUACUACCGAUGAAUGAUUAAGUGAGAGCGUCGGACCGGCGCCCUCGGCAGCCCUCGGACCGAUCAAAAUCGAUUUCCCGAUCGAAAAAGAGCCUUCCCUUCGCGGGGUCGGUUCCGCUUCUCGGGUUUUCGGCGGACCGAGUCAGCGCCAAUGGGCCUCGCCGGAAAGACGUCCGAACUUGAUUAUUUAGAGGAAGUAAAAGUCGUAACAAAGNUAUCGGUAGGUGAACUG